CCCUUAGAUGUCCUGGGCCGCACGCGCGCUACACUGAGUGUCUGAGAUACGAGUCUGCCUGGUCCGGCAAGGUCUAGGUAAUCGCUAAAAGACACAUCAUGCUUGGGAUAGAUUAUUUCAAAUAUUAAUCUUGAACGAGGAAUUCCUAGUAAGCGCAAGUCAACAGCUUGCGUUGAUUACGUCCCUGCCCUUUGUACACACCGCCCGUCGCUACUACUGAUUGGAUGUUUAAGCGAGGUUCUCGAACUGCUAGCGACUUAGCUUCGGUGAGGUCGCAGUGUGGGAAGUGAACCUAGCUUUGGUGUCUAGAGGAAGUAAAAGUCGUAACA
rnacentral:rRNA from 1 species